UAUCACAGUAGUAGGACUUGAGAACUGCACCAUUGACAGUACAGUUCAAAGGAUGGAGACCAGCCAGAGUCCCUCUGAUUGUGACUCCUUGUAGCUUCUUUUGGACCAUGUUUGUCUAUGUUUGGUUCCUGCUCACAAGAACAGGUGUGGGGAUUGGGCCACACUGAGCAAGGGACAUGAGCAGGUUGAUGGGGUAUUAAGGUUGUCACUACUUUGUCUUUAAAGUGUCAUUUGUGGAGGGACAAGAAAAAGGCUGGAAAUUCAGGUAGGUCAGAUUUUGAAAGUUCAGACACAGGAGUAUAGACUUAAGAUCAAGUCACGAGAGAAAGCGUUGCCUGGCCAGUAUCUCUUCCCUUCUCCAUUCUUUAUUGUGAAGUUUCAUUGAGCUACUAUAUGAGAGUGGGCAGAAGAGCGUAGACGUAGGUAAGGCCAGGAGUUGCUGGCUGGACUAUAUUCCAGUGUGAGAAUACCAAACCCUCACGCAUCUUUCUUUAUCCCAGGUCACACUUGUAGCUUUGCCUUGAGUUUUGUUUGGGUUUAUUUUCUCCCUCCCUUUCCCCCUAAGAAGCUAUAACUGCUUAUAAAGGUAGAGAGAGAGUAGCCAAAACCAAUCCGUGAGAUCUCACAGUGCUAGGCACGCAUGCAGCUCCCAAGUCUCGCAAAUAACUAUACUGUCAGGGAUUACAAUAACUAUCUCCAUACAUACCAAGCUUGGUGGUGCACACCUUUAAUCCCAGCUAACAGGAGGCAGAAGCAAGAUCUCCGAGUUGAACCAGCCUGGUCUACAGACUGAGUUCCAGGAUAGCGAGGGCUAAACAGAAAAACCUUGUCUCCAAAUCCCAAUAAUAAUAAGCAAUAAUCUUCAUUUUGCGACAUAAACCAAACGUAGAGGUACACACUUGUAAUCCCAGCCUGGGAGGGAGAGGCGGUAUUAGUUCAAGGUCUUUUUACAUGCUGAGUUUAAAGCCAGUUUUUGAGAUCCUGCCUAUUUAGGGGAGAAUCUACCUUUUUAAAUGCAUGACCAAAGGAGAGAAAGGCGGCCUGGGGGUCUGGGGAGAUAUCUUUGCUGGGGUUCUCUAAUUAAAUAAGGUUCUCUCAUCAACUC
rnacentral:lncRNA from 1 species